UGCAACUUGAGGCUCUGUCCUCUCAUUCUGUCACUUAUUUUCUGACACCCAGCUGGCUGCAACCUCUCUUGCAGGUCUGGCAGCUCCAGACAAAGUUUAUUAGAGAAGCCCUCCUGUUGAGUCACGAGGCAGUUGUAGAGAGUGAUAAAGUGUUCCCUGAGGCUUCUCCUCUCCCCCUCAACUGAUGUCUCUGGACCUACCCAACAACAUACAACAUACCUGAUUGUGGGUGCUGUUGGCCACAAAAGAGAAUUUCAAAGUCUUUAUACUCCAAAGUUGUAAAUCCAUUAUGAUAAGUGUGGCCUGAGAAACACUAUCCAGCCUGGCUAUUGAUCUUCAAGCAAAAUGACCAGCUCUAGAAGGUGUUUUUUAAUAGAAAUGGAAUAGUACUCCACAUGGAGAGAUGAUGAAAUUGCUCUGAUUCACAAUUCAGCUGUUCUGCUUUGCCUGCAUUUCUAGUACCAAGAGUUAAGAAAUUGUUGUUGACACUGGCCUAUACUUUAAGUUCUGUACAGGGAACACUGAAGUCUCUGAAA